rnacentral:rRNA from 1 species
CUGACCGAUAGUGAACUAGUACCGUGAGGGAAAGGCGAAAAGAACCCCGGUGAGGGGAGUGAAAUAGAUCCUGAAACCGCGUACGUACAAGCAGUAGGAGCCUCUUUUAUGGGGUGACUGCGUACCUUUUGUAUAAUGGGUCAGCGAGUUAUUGUCAGUAGCAAGGUUAACCGUUUAGGGGAGCCGUAGGGAAACCGAGUCUUAAUAGGGCGUUUUAGUUGCUGGUAAUAGACCCGAAACCGGGCGAUCUAUCCAUGGCCAGGUUGAAGGUGCCGUAACAGGCACUGGAGGACCGAACCCACCUAUGUUGAAAAAUGGGGGGAUGAGCUGUGGCUCGGAGUGAAAGGCUAAUCAAGCCCGGAGAUAGCUGGUUCUCCUCGAAAACUAUUUAGGUAGUGCCUCGCGUUUGACUGCUGGGGGUAGAGCACUGUGUCGGCUAGGGGGUCAUCCCGACUUACCAACCCGAUGC